CAAUUACAGGUGGAUUUGAAUUUAUUCUCUUCUGGGACAGACUUUGAAGGAGACAGAACAAUGGAUCUUUGAUAUAGGACUGCAGGGGAUGAGAAGGAAAAACCCUGGAGAUGUAAAGAUGAAGAAUAUUCUUCUGGUUCCUGAGUGGCUCACAGUCCAGCAGAGAAAUAGGCAUAAGAAGAAACAAAUAUGGCACAGUGGUCAACCUGGAAUAAAAGUGCUUUCUAGAUGGGUGCAGGGAGCAUGAUGACUGGAUUCUCGAGAAGCAG